GCCAAAAAUUAGGAUUUUGUUCGGUUCCGUGUCACCUGUUUGAUCAACUGCUCAAGGUUCCAAACUUCCAUUGGCUCACACUCCAAGAUUUGCCGCGUUAGUUGUAAGCCGAAACUCCCCACACUCCAUUUCUUGCCAGGUCCAAAACUCGGAAUCUCGAAAGUUUCUUCCUUCAUUCCUUCAUUCUCCCACCAGAAAGCUGCUGAAACUGUCAUCCAUCUUCAAGCCUCGAGAUUAGAGUAUAUAAAGUUCUGUGUUGAUUGAUUUGAGGAAGCUAUAAGCUCUUUGUUGUGAACUGCUCGAGGAAGCUGAAAGUUUUUGAUAAACAAACUAUGACAAAUGGGAAUGCAAGCCUUGGUGAAUGUUCUACUUCAACUUCAUCCAGCAGUCAACAAGACAUAGAGGAUGAUAAGAUGAUUGCCAUGGUGCUCUCUGAGGAGUAUGCUAAAUUAGAUGGGGCAGUUGGUCAAAGGGUUUCCCAUCUAGCACCUAUUCCUCAUGUUCCAAAAAUAAAUUCUUACAUCCCGGACUCGAGUGAUGCUAGUUUGGAUUACCAGCGGUUAUUUCAGAGGUUA